rnacentral:tmRNA from 1 species
GGGGACGAUCUAGGUUUCGACGAAGAAGUACUUUAAAAACUGCAAGCCAUGUUGAUUUGCAUGUAAAACAAUCAAAAAUACAAGCGCCAAUAAAAACGACGCUUCCGAAAAUGCUUUCGGCGGAUUUAAUUUCGCCUUCGCAUAACUUUGGAUGUUCACCUAUUUGUUUCUUGGUCGAAUAGGAUGGGCAUAAACCUACCAAGAUAGGGUAUUUAGUUUGAUUUAACUUUAUAUUUGAAAUAACAAAUCUUACUUUUAAAAUUGCCUUUUAGUUGGCUUAUUUUUAAAGGAAAAAAAACGUAAACUAAAUAAGCUUGUAGAGGUUUUUAGAUCAAUUUCUUACGGACGAGGGUUCAAUUCCCUCCGUCUCCACAG